CCAUAACAUAACCUACAGUUUUAUCUAGAUAUAUAUUACCAAUUUGUUCGGGAAAAGCUGGAAUCGGAACUCCAUAUGGUUCUGCUGCAGUGUAGCAGGAAAUAGUGUUUGUGCGGUUACCACCUACAUAUGCAACCAACAAGUCCCCUAGGGCUACUGACGACAUGUAACCUCCAACGAGGGAUUUCAAACAGAUGCGUAAAAAAAGCUACCGAUUCAUUAGAACCUCUUUGAGAUUUAAACAGAUAAAUUUUUCGAUAAAACAGGUCGCGUAAUGUAACGUGCUUAUUUUGGAGAAUUAAGUUUUGAAUUUCUGUGAUCACCGCACAUCGCUGCAUAACGAACCUUAUCCAUUUGAAAAGAUGCAUGGAUGAGAAUUGAUAACACAUUUUGUUAUAUUUUUUUAAUCCUCCUUCACUUUUUGGUAACAACAAUCCAUCAUUGCCGUUGAAAAACAGUAUUUCACUCAUUUACCCCUUUCUUAUGUUGGACUCUUUUUGUCUUAAACCCGUUAUAAUGAAAUUUCCAAUCGUUCAAACAUUCGGUGUCAUACUGAAGGCUUGAAUUCGUAUUUCGCGUAAUUUAAAUCUCUUAAAUUUCUUUUUUUUUUCAGACUUCAGCUCUUUCGUUUGACCUAUCUAUUUUCAAGCAUAUUAUGGGCUUACCUAUGAUGACUUGUACUAAUCAUAAGGUUAACAGCUUAGCAUACUUUUGUUCAUUUUUAUUAAAACGGUUCAGCAAUUAAACAAUUCUACUUUUUUAAUCCUACUAUAUUUUUGAUAAAUUUUUGAUUUUCAAUUAAAAAAAAAAAACGAGUCUUGUUCUGACUCGAAUCAUGUUACACAGCUCUCUUGGUCUAGAUGUACAAGACCAUUAAAAUAUUGAAUCAAAUUCUGAUACAAGGAAUACAAAGUAAAAAAAAAAAUUUGAUCGAAACAAAUAACUAGAAUAUCCAGUAGUUUAAUAUCAUCGAAAAUGAAAGGAUAUGUGAAGUAUUCACUUCAAAAAGCAAUACGUUUAUCCGUUAGACCAUGAGCCAUUUGUUUAAAGCUAAUCAUUUGGUUUCACAGUCUCUCCGCGAACUCGGGCCUAAACUAAACGAAGAGUUUUCUUGUUUCCUAAACUGUUACAUUAUGAUGCAUCUUUUCGGAGCUAAAGAUUCGGCAUAUAGCCUAUCCCUCGAGUGGAGUACUGAAUAAAACGGAGAGUUUCAUCGUUGCCGAAACGACUUAUCAGUUGGAUUCGUUUUCAGCCUAUUGCCAGACUGAUUCCAGACGAUUGCUGAGGACCCCCUCCGAAGAGAGGUUCCCUCCUUUUAUGUUUUGGGUACAAAUUCCAUCCAUUUCGGGUCUCCGAUGGUGGACACCCUCUUUACUUUUGUUCCCCAGAAGGAAUUAGGUAUUGCUCAUUUAGAGUAAGAUGCAACAUCUAUUUAACGUCUCCAACGCUUCGACGUGUACAUUCACGAGAGUUCGCUAACAUUUGUUAGGGAUAUUCCCUUCAUGCUCUGUGGAUUACACACCACAGAACUGGCCUCGGACGAAUUCUCAAUCUUAGCACAGCCAGUCGUCCCUGGUUUAUGUAUUCCAAUUAGUCUCUACAACUUUUGAGUGCUCUGAAAUCAUGUUGACCACCGUACACUUCAAGGGCCUAAAGAAUCGAGUGGAGACUGUGAGAGGUAAGUAUUUGUUAACUGGAGUCGGACUCGAGACCAGGUGCCACUGCUACCAGGAGUACUCCACACCGCUAUUCUCGUUUUCUAAACGUUAAUCGUACACCGUUACAGUAUGUCACAUUUUUUCAAAGCUUAUUAUUCGGCUUCACAGCGUAUCCACAAGCGAAACAGUGAAUGCAUUGUAUGGUUUCGUGGUCUUCUAAGAGACUCAUUAGUACGACGCGGUUUUGACCUAUUGUUAGACUAAUUCUAGGUAUUGAUUAUGGCCAUUUCCAUAGAAAGCUUCGUAUCUUCAAGUCUUAAAAUUAUGCGAUUAACAUUUUUUGUCCAUUAUGAAUUUUCUUUUUAAUCUCUAUUAUCAUUUAAUGUAAAAAGAUAUUGCUACGUGUUCGGCUUGUAAAUUCUAGCAUCAGCAUAUUUUUUCACGCACAAUGAUAACAUUUCAUUAGUUACUGAUUCACUAGAAAUUCGAAUAGCGUGUUGUUUCCAAAUGCAUGGUAUACUUUCUUCGAAAAUCUAUUCGUUGAAUAUAAUAUAUACUGAUUCUUCCACGUUAGCGCAAAUGUAUGGAAUAAAAAUUAAAGAAACAUUGGUAAAGAUAGCAGACAAGUAAGUCUUUAGUGGGAUGAAUUGUGCAAACAAGAAUCGGAAGCACUUAAAUGUGUUAUAGUCAUUUUGAGAGUGAAAAAGAAAGUUCUAAUAAUAUGGACACAAUUUGGUUCCCCCCUAAGCAAGAAACAGAGUCGUUUCAAAGUAUUGCAUGUUUCUUAACCAAAAUCGGAAUACUCGAAGGUUUUUCGAUUCAUAAAAAAACAGUGAAAGUUUGAUCACUAGGUAAUCUCAUUGAAGUUAGGAGACAUUUUGAUAUGACAAAAGUUAUACUUUUGUAAGCCAUAUGGUAGUAAAACGAACUCACAUUAGAAAUUGCAGCAUGGCAGCAGGAGCGACUAAUCGUUUCAAAAAAUUUAUUAGCUUAAAAGGAACACUAAAUGAAGUAAAUUUUUUCCUAAUUGUAGAGCACAUGACGAAUCAAGACUCUUUUUUGUUUCACUUAGUCGUUACUGUAAAAAAUAACUUACAAG